UUUGAUCUCAUUCGGCGCGGUUUCCUC
rnacentral:miRNA from 1 species